UACAGAGGGUGCGAGCGUUAAUCGGAAUUACUGGGCGUAAAGCGUGCGUAGACGGUUACGUAAGUCGGGUGUGAAAGCCCCGGGCUCAACCUGGGAAUUGCAUUCGAGACUGCGUAGCUAGGGUGCGGAAGAGGGAAGCGGAAUUUCCGAUGUAGCGGUGAAAUGCGUAGAUAUCGGAAGGAACAUCAGUGGCGAAAGCGGCUUCCUGGUCCAGCACCGACGUUCAGGCACGAAAGCGUGGGGAGCAAACAGG
rnacentral:rRNA from 1 species